rnacentral:rRNA from 1 species
UACGUAGGGUGCGAGCGUUGUCCGGAAUUAUUGGGCGUAAAGGGCUCGUAGGCGGUCUGUUGCGUCGGGAGUGAAAACUCAGGGCUUAACCCUGAGCCUGCUUCCGAUACGGGCAGACUAGAGGUAUGCAGGGGAGAACGGAAUUCCUGGUGUAGCGGUGAAAUGCGCAGAUAUCGGGAGGGACACCCGUAGCGAAGGCGGCACUCUGGGCCGGAACUGACGCUGAGGAGCGAAAGCGUGGGGAGCAAACAGG